AGGAUGUAACCUGGCGGGAAGGCAUUCAUUAUUGAAUAAACUUGGUUGGGUUGUUGCUGGCUCUUCGGAGCAUGUGCACGCCUAGCGCCAUUUUUACCACCUGUGCACUUCUUGUAGAUUUGAAACACCUCUCGAGGAAACUCGGUUUGAGGAUUGCUGCGCGCAAGCCAGCUUUCCUUGCGUUUCAGGUCUAUGUUUUUAUAUACCCCAUAAGAAUGUUUUAGAAUGUCAUUAAUGGGCUUUAUUGCCUUUAAAUUAAUACAACUUUCAACAACGGAUCUCUUGGCUCUCGCAUCGAUGAAGAACGCAGCGAAAUGCGAUAAGUAAUGUGAAUUGCAGAAUUCAGUGAAUCAUCGAAUCUUUGAACGCACCUUGCGCUCCUUGGUAUUCCGAGGAGCAUGCCUGUUUGAGUGUCAUUAAAUUCUCAACCUUUUCAGCUUUUGCGAGUUGAAUUGGCUUGGAUGUGGGGGUUUGCGGGCUUCUCAGAAGUCGGCUCCCCUAAAAACAUUAGCGAACCUUGGGGACCAGCUUUGGGUGAUAAUUAUCUACCCAUGGCCGGAAGCACUUUACAUGGGGUUCUGCUUCUA
rnacentral:rRNA from 1 species